UGGUCCGGGGCUACUGUGUAGUAAACCAAGUAGAGCGAAGCGCAGCGCGAGAGUACCUGCUACAUUCCACUUGCUACUUUCCACUAUGCGUGGUGCGGUGAAGCAAACCCACCGCUCUUGACGCCCCUACAGUAUAUCUCGUGCGGUAAUCUCUCUCUGUGUGCACUUGGCUACAGUUGUAGUUCCUAAAGGUGUUUGAAUUUGACUCUCGUAUUGGCUACCUAUUUUAAUUAAUGUAUGGGAUUGCCCCAUCGUUUAUUUUCAAAUCAUUAACGUUUAAUGCAAGACGUAUAGUUUCUUCAUGGCGUCUCAACAGCAGUCAAGAAUUCAGUCGUAUCUGGAGAAAAAUAAAAUUGGACCGCUGUUUGAGGAGAUGAUGACCAGUCUGAUAAGCGAGACCCCAGAUCACCCUAUUCCUUUUCUCAUCAAUCACCUGCAGACCAAGCAAGGCAGCCCCGGCAAGCUGCACAGAACACUGUCGGGCUCUGCCGCACUGUGGGCCCAGAGCUCUGCAGCAGAGAGUAAAGGACGUCGUGACUUCAGGAGUUAUGAGAAGCCCUGGCAGAUCCAUCCUAAGAAACCCAAGAAGUCUAAGAGUGAUCUGGCUGUGUCUAACAUCUCCCCUCCCUCACCAGAGUCCAAGUCCCUGCCGCGGUCCAUAGAGCACCCAUCGUGGGAGUGGAGGGAGAGCAAAGACUUUGAUGAGCUCAACCACAUCCUGCAGGAGAGCAAGAAGCUGGGCAAGGCUCUGGAGAACCUGUCACGCAGUAUCGCUGCUUCUGAUGAACUUGAUCAGAACCUUGGGGGGUAUAACUCAGUGCUGCGGCCCAGGGUUGUGGGGGAGUGGGUGGGCAGGGAGGAAGAGGAUCCAGACCCCCUGGCAGCAGAGAUGCUCCAGCCCCCAGUCCCCAGGAACAAGACUGAGGUGUGGGGGAAGGCCAAUAACAGCCCUGCCUUGAGUGUUAAGAUGGAGGGGAAGAGUAAAGGGUUGAAGCAGCAGCAGCAGCACCACAAGAAGCUCCUGGCGGCCAUGUUGUCCCAGGAUUCCUUUGACUCCGCCCAUAGCUCCGCCCCCUCACUCACCGAGGAGGAAAUAGAGGACGAGGAUGAUGCCAUGGAACUACUGGAGGACCUAGAUGACCUGCGUAUGGAGGGGGUAACAGGGCUGGCCCCGUCAGGAAGUAAGUUCAGUCAAGGUCGUAGUUCCUACCUCCCAGAGCCCCAGGCCAAGGUCACACUCAACAUCUGCUCAAGGUGUGCAAGGCUGCAGGGGGACAGUCUGUCAGAUGCCAGUAGACCAGAAGAGGACCAGCACCAUGGACCCUCCCAGCACGGAUCACCUCAACGUGGACCUCUCCAUGGAUCUUCUCAUCCCCUGCUCCCAGAGCAUGCUGCUGUCAACAUGCCUGAUGGAAAUGGGCCUCAUGGACCCCCCCAUCACUUACAACCUGUGCCUGAUAUCUCCUGUUGUUUUCCCGGGGUGGACACAGCGCCGGUACGAGACCAGGAAUGCGACAGUGUGUCUCAGGUGUCUUUCCCACGUCAGGCAGUCUGGGAGGCUGAUGUGAAGGUGGUUAAAGGAGUAGGAGGAGGGAGCUCGUCCAGGGAGCUGCUGGGACAGACGGGUGGACUGCUGCUAAGUGACUCCCUCUUCUCUAAAGAACUAGAAAACAUGGGAAAACACCUCGCUGAGGUGGAGAAGGACCUGGCCAAACUGGCGGAGCAGGGGAAACUAGCCCAGCGGAGCCCCAACAGCCCCCACAGUAGUCUGCUCCUCACCCCUCUGUUCCACACCUCCCUCCCGGGGGGAACCCUCCCCAACACUCUACCCUUACCAGGCCAGACCUCCAGACCACCCUCCAGACCCCAGUCCCCCAUCCUCAGCGCCCGCUCAGCCAAGCCCAGCUCCAUAGGCUACCCCCUGGUCAGCCCCAAACUUAGCCCUCUGCUCACACGGAAACCAACCUCCCUCACCAUGACGACUGGUCACAGAACUCAUUCUCCCAGCAACCCCGGCAGCAGAACUACAACUCCUAGAACCCCCAGCAGCAGGCCCAUGACCCCCAACAGCCUGCUGACCUCCAGGUCGGCCAUGACGGCCGUAACCCCAGGUGUUGGAGGUCACGGGGGUCAUAAGGAGGUGACGUUCAGGAGGUCGAGGAGCAGACCGGUGACCCCCACCAGUCAGCCGACCCGACCCAGGCCCCUGCUCACCCCUCCUGGGCUGAGUACGACAGAUAGUCUGGGCAAGGCCUCCAGCCUCAGGGCCUAUCUGUCAGAGGAUGAGUUCUACCAGCAGCUGCAGGCCAUCAGACAGCCAUGGCACAUUCCCAGUGACACAGAGAGUGACCUUCUGGAACCACCUGAGCAGGACAAGUGUGAGUAAGCGUGCGUUAACCUUACACUUUUCAUCCACUAUCUCUCUUUCUCUGCUCUAUCUCUUUCUGACCCUGUCUCUCUCUUUCUCCCUUUAUUGCUCUCGUUCUACCUCUGUCUCCAUCUUUAUCCUCAUUGCUGUUUAUUUCUCUCCCCACCUUUUAGUCUUUUCUCUCCCAUACUGACUCACAAGGGAAGUCAUUUUUCCUCAGUGUUUCACAGUGUCAAACUUUUUCAUGAAGUCAGUGGUAUUCUACUGUCCCAUAAGAUGACCGAUCUCUCUCUUAAUGCCUCUUAAUGCCAACACUGUCAUUUCCGUAGUUCAAUUUAUUUAUGUCAUUACUUCAAUUUUCUGUGAUUAAUGUACAGAGUAUGGCUUUCCGUCGGCCUAAAAAGGGGGAUUUAUACCUUAAUGUACGCUGUUAAAUUCAGUACAAGAAAAUGAGAGUUUAGUCAUGAAAUGACCAUUGCUACACAGGAGGCAGACAUCUUGUUAAGUUUUAAACGCUGAAUAUGUGAUUUCUGGGUGGAUAAGGUUGUUGAUAUCGUCUAAGAUUACAUCUCCAGCCGUCAUUUAAGAGAUUUAUUCACAUUAAGAGCUAGUCGAUGGACAUGAAGGACUCUCUGUUGCAUCUCAUGAAUCCAUAAAUCGUUAUAUAAGUCUGGCUUGGGUACGACAUAGCUCUCUCUCUCUCUGUCCUUUGAACAUGACAUCACUAGGAUUGUGUUCCAAAUGACACCCUAUUCCGUACAGGGCCCAUAGGGCUCUGGACAAAGUAGUGCACUCUAUAGGGAAUAGGGUGCCAUUUGGGACGCAGGCUCCAUCUUUGAACAUUACAUAAUUAGAUCAGAAGUCCCCUCUUGAUGUUCAGAUAAAUAAAUCGGUUGAAUGUAGUAAUAUGUCAUAAUUAUUCAUAUGUAAUAAAUAAUAAGAUAAUAUGGUCUCAAUAGUCCUAUCAAGCCAUCAAAUGUACGUGCUCUUAACUUUUAUGGUGAGAGUUGCGUAUCGCCACAUCCUCAGAGAUGGCUUCAGAUCCUGGUAUUGUAAAAAUGCGUCAAUGAACACACACACACAGAACACGUGCCUGACGUUGGCCUUGUAGUUAAGACCACCGCCCUCAGCACAUAUACGAUUCCCCUGACUGUGCGGGCACGAAUCCCGGCACCUACCGGCCCAACUCAGUAUCUCCCUUCUCUCUGUCUCCCCUUCAUUGCAUACCGGUCUCUGUCCUUGAAAAAACAUACAGAAGGAGAGUGCAUAUCCACACAUAGCCAACUUCUUCAGUGUGUGUGGAUUAUACCGCUACAGUGUGGGGUACGAGAUGCCAAUAAGAGAUCAGUGUUCUCAGGGCUAUAGUGAUGAAGACCAGAGAGAGAGACAUUGAUCCAAUCAAAUAAUUAUGCAAACCACUGGGCAUUUUCAAUAUUGUGUACAGAGACCAUUAUUUUUUAUAAUUCACUCAGUGAGGAAUAUAAAAAAAGAUUGUAUACUUUUUCCACAGAGGGUGAUAUUUCUGAGGCCAUGUAGCGCCAAGAUGUGUGAACUAUUGUCGAAAAUAGGACAACGUUAGAGUAUGAAGUAUGAAAUAUAACUGAAUAUUUCUUUGCGCUUGCUAUUUUAGCAUGCUUACGUCUUUUGGGGAGUUGAAAGAAAAAAAAAGCAUUGUUGUUUCCAAGCUAGUACUUUGAGACUGUAGCACAUGUACUGUACUGUAUAGAGCCAAUCUCUGGAUGGGCACUUAAGGGCUGGUUUUUAAAGUGGAAUGGCUUUCAAGGGAAUAAAAUAAUGGAGCAGAUAUUCACCUUGAAUUGAAGAUUAUUUUUCCCCACACUACAUUCUGUAGCCUGAUCCCAGAUCUGUUUUAAUUCUAUACCUAAAGUUCCAUUGUUUUAAAAAACAGUAGCUAGUAUGCAGGCUUUGGUACAGAUACUCACCUUGAUUUGAAAAGGAUAUGCUUCCUUCGUUUACACAACAUUUUAUUCAUUCUAAAUUCUGUUCAUUCUAAAUGUUGUGUGUUCUAAAUUCUGUUCGUUCUAAAUUCUGUUCAUUCUAAAUUCUGUUAAUAACUUGAAGAAUGUUUCUUCACCACACCAUGGGUCUGUUCAGGAGACUGCGACUUUAGAACUUUCCCCUGGUAAGGGAAGUCUGGAAUCCCGAUUCCUCCUUCCAGGAUUUCUUGGGAAAACCUAGACAUUUUGGGAAAGUUAACAAUCCUGGUCUACACUGUUAUGUUGAUCUACGACUGUUCCUUUUGUAGCUAUGAGUUUUGUUAUACUUUUGUUGACAUGCAAAUACUUACAAAAUGGAUAAAAAGAUUGUUUCUUUUUUAUGCACUGACUGAACCAUUGAAUAAAAACCUGGAAGUGA